AUAAUGAUGCAGCAGGCCUAAACAUGCAGUCGAACGGUAACAGGAAGAAGCUUGCUUCUUUGCUGACGAGUGGCGGACGGGUGAGUAAUGUCUGGGAAACUGCCUGAUGGAGGGGGAUAACUACUGGAAACGGUAGCUAAUACCGCAUAACGUCGCAAGACCAAAGAGGGGGACCUUCGGGCCUCUUGCCAUCGGAUGUGCCCAGAUGGGAUUAGCUAGUAGGUGGGGUAACGGCUCACCUAGGCGACGAUCCCUAGCUGGUCUGAGAGGAUGACCAGCCACACUGGAACUGAGACACGGUCCAGACUCCUACGGGAGGCAGCAGUGGGGAAUAUUGCACAAUGGGCGCAAGCCUGAUGCAGCCAUGCCGCGUGUAUGAAGAAGGCCUUCGGGUUGUAAAGUACUUUCAGCGGGGAGGAAGGGAGUAAAGCUAAUACCUUUGCUCAUUGACGUUACCCGCAGAAGAAGCACCGGCUAACUCCGUGCCAGCAGCCGCGGUAAUACGGAGGGUGCAAGCGUUAAUCGGAAUUACUGGGCGUAAAGCGCACGCAGGCGGUUUGUUAAGUCAGACGUGAAAUCCCCGGGCUCAACCUGGGAACUGCAUCUGAUACUGGCAAGCUUGAGUCUCGUAGAGGGGGGUAGAAUUCCAGGUGUAGCGGUGAAAUGCGUAGAGAUCUGGAGGAAUACCGGUGGCGAAGGCGGCCCCCUGCACGAAGACUGACGCUCAGGUGCGAAAGCGUGGGGAGCAAACAGGAUUAGAUACCCUGUAGUCCACGCCGUAAACGAUGUCGACUUGGGGGUUGUGCCCUUGAGGCGUGGCUUCCGGAGCUAACGCGUUAAGUCGACCGCCUGGGGAGUACGGCCGCAAGGUUAAAACUCAAAUGAAUUUGACGGAAGGGCGAA
rnacentral:rRNA from 1 species